GGCCCAAUGGUCUAGUAGUAUGAUAUUCCCUUCGGGUGUUCAGCAUCCGCUCUGUUAAGCGCAGAGCUCAGAUGGGAGUGGUCACGGGUUCAAUUCCCGUUUGGGCCC
rnacentral:tRNA from 1 species